rnacentral:misc_RNA from 1 species
CUUCUCCCGAAAGGUCUCCACACUCCUCUUCCCAGGAGGUAAGUCCAGUAGGAAGGAGUCCACUAGCCACGCCAUGAAGUCCACGAGAUGCGCGCUCGCAGGGAGGUAACUGGGUAGGCA